UCAGCAUGGUCUCAAACCAA
rnacentral:snRNA from 1 species